GGUCACUGUGAUGGUUGAAUAGGGCUCCAGGCUCCAUGACCUAUACAGGCCUCUGCUAGGGGAGGCCAGUCUUUGUGUCUGAAUGAUU